UUGUCUCUCUUGAGUGGAUCCUGAGUACGACGGAGCACGUGAAAUUCCGUCGGAAUCUGGGAGGACCAUCUCCUAAGGCUAAAUACUCUCUAGUGACCGAUAGUGAACCAGUACCGUGAGGGAAAGGUGAAAAGCACCCCGGAAGGGGAGUGAAAUAGAACCUGAAACCGUGUGCUUACAAGUAGUCAGAGCCCGUUAAUGGGUGAUGGCGUGCCUUUUGUAGAAUGAACCGGCGAGUUACGAUUUGAUGCAAGGUUAAGCAGUAAAUGUGGAGCCGUAGCGAAAGCGAGUCUGAAUAGGGCGUUUAGUAUUUGGUCGUAGACCCGAAACCAGGUGAUCUACCCUUGGUCAGGUUGAAGUUCAGGUAACACUGAAUGGAGGACCGAACCGACUUACGUUGAAAAGUGAGCGGAUGAACUGAGGGUAGCGGAGAAAUUCCAAUCGAACCUGGAGAUAGCUGGUUCUCUCCGAAAUAGCUUUAGGGCUAGCCUCAAGUGAUGAUUAUUGGAGGUAGAGCACUGUUUGGACGAGGGGCCCCUCUCGGGUUACCGAAUUCAGACAAACUCCGAAUGCCAAUUAAUUUAACUUGGGAGUCAGAACAUGGGUGAUAAGGUCCGUGUUCGAAAGGGAAACAGCCCAGACCACCAGCUAAGGUCCCAAAAUAUAUGUUAAGUGGAAAAGGAUGUGGCGUUGCCCAGACAACUAGGAUGUUGGCUUAGAAGCAGCCAUCAUUUAAAGAGUGCGUAAUAGCUCACUAGUCGAGUGACACUGCGCCGAAAAUG
rnacentral:rRNA from 1 species